rnacentral:rRNA from 1 species
CCUACGGGAGGCAGCAGUAGGGAAUCUUCGGCAAUGGGGGGAACCCUGACCGCGCAACGCCGCGUGAAAGAAGAAGUUAUUCGUAAUGUAAAGUUCUUUUAACAGGGAAGAAAGAGAAAUUUGACGGUACCUGAAGAAUAAGCUCCGGCAAACUACGUACCAGCAGCCUCGGUAAUACGAAGUGAGCGAGCUUUAUCCGGAAUUAUUGGGGGUAAAGGGUGCGUAGAUGGCAUAGAAAGUCUUUUGUAAAAAUGCUGGGCUCAACCCAGUAGGGCAAAAGAUACUGCAAAGCUAGAGUAUGACAGAGGCAAGUGGAACUACAUGUGUAGCGGUGAAAUGCGUAAAUAUAUGUAAGAACACCAGUGGCGAAGGCGGCUUUCUGGGUCGAUACUGACAUUGAGGCACGAAAGCGUGGGGAGCAAACAGGAUUAGAUACCCUAGUAGUC